GGGCUGACAGUCCCAGAGCCCUUACGAUGAUCCAGACGGGGUAACGCAUCUGCUGCAGCAACUGGCAGUCAUUGGUGGUGACCGAAUCCACCCCUGCGCACCAGAGCAGGGAAAAGAGCCAAGGCUUGUUCACCACAAAUAGGUUCACCGAGACAUUAUCCUGGUGUAGUGCCCUGUGGAGGUGGGAAACAGGAAUAUCCAGGGUCACAGGGCAAGAGGCACAGGAGGCAGCCCCCGUCCACGCUUGACUCUACAGUGUUGCUGCCAAGGAACUAUCAGUUCGAUCUUUACAUACAGCCCCUGACCAUCAGUGAUUUUCUUUGCAUGGCUGAACUUUGCCUCCUGGUGGAUCCCACCUCCGGAUCCUAGCUUUGCCAUCUGGGGCCGCACAACUGUGUCUCUCUUCUUUGUCCCAUGACAGCCCUUCGGAGGUCUGGGGAGCAGGACUGAAGCCUGAACUGGGGCCGGCAUUCAGAGCCCUUCGAGACCAAGCCCCUGCUCCCCUUGCCAGUCUCACCUCUUACUACUCCCAUGAAUUUUAUCUCCCACUGGCACUGAGCCACUUUUUGUCUCCUGGAAACACUUCUUCAUACCUCUGCGCUUUGCAUAUGCUCUUCCCUCUGACUAGAGUUGUCAGUCCCUGCUUUGCCCACUUAAAAACCAUUGUCAUUUCA